CGCGUAGGCGGCUUGGCAAGUCGAAGGUGAAAUCCCCCGGCUCAACCGGGGAACUGCCUUCGAAACUGCCAGGCUAGAGUCCGGGAGAGGGUAGUGGAAUUCCCAGUGUAGCGGUGAAAUGCGUAGAUACUGGGAGGAACACCAGUGGCGAAGGCGGCUACCUGGACCGGAACUGACGCUGAGGCGCGAAAGCGUGGGGAGCAAAACA
rnacentral:rRNA from 1 species